rnacentral:rRNA from 1 species
CGGCGAGUGAAGCGGCAACAGCUCAAAUUUGAAAUCUGGCUCUUUUAGGGUCCGAGUUGUAAUUUGCAGAGGGCGCUUUGGCGUUGGCAGCGGUCCAAGUUCUUUGGAACAGGACGUCACAGAGGGUGAGAAUCCCGUACGUGGUCGCUAGCCUUCGCCGUGUAAAGCCCCUUCGACGAGUCGAGUUGUUUGGGAAUGCAGCUCUAAAUGGGAGGUAAAUUUCUUCUAAAGCUAAAUACUGGCCAGAGACCGAUAGCGCACAAGUAGAGUGAUCGAAAGAUGAAAAGCACUUUGGAAAGAGAGUCAAAUAGCACGUGAAAUUGUUGAAAGGGAAGCGCUUGCAGCCAGACUUGCCUGUAGUUGCUUAUCCGGACUUUUGUCCGGUGCACUCUUCUGCGGGCAGGCCAGCAUCAGUUUAGGCGGUUGGAUAAAGGUCUCUAUCACGUACCUCCCUUCGGGGCAGGCCUUAUAGGGGAGACGACAUGCAACCAGCCUGAACUGAGGUCCGCGCAUCUGCUAGGAUGCUGGCGUAAUGGCUGUAAGCGGCCCGUCUUGAAACACGGACCAAGGAGUCUAACAUCUAUG